GACGAACGCUGGCGGCGUGCUUAACACAUGCAAGUCGAACGGAAAGGCCCUGCUUUUGUGGGGUGCUCGAGUGGCGAACGGGUGAGUAACACGUGAGUAACCUGCCCUUGACUUUGGGAUAACUUCAGGAAACUGGGGCGAAUACCGGAUAGGAGCUCCUGCUGCAUGGUGUGGGUUGGAAAGUGUCGGCGGUUGGGGAUGGACUCGCGGCUUAUCAGCUUGUUGGUGGGGUAGUGGCUGACCAAGGGUUUGACGGGUAGCCGGCCUGGGAGGGUGACCGGGCACAUUGGGCCUGCGAUACGCAGCAGUCGCCUACGGGAGGCAGCAGGCGGGAAUAUUGCACAGCGGGGCGAAGCCUGAUGCAGCAACGCCGCGUGCGGGAUGCCGGCCUUCGGGUUGUAAACCGCUUUCGCCUGUGACGAAGCGUGAGUGACGGUAAUGGGUAAAGAAGCACCGGCUAACUACGUG
rnacentral:rRNA from 1 species